AUUGAACGCUGGCGGCAGGCCUAACACAUGCAAGUCGAACGGUAACAGGAAGAAGCUUGCUUCUUUGCUGACGAGUGGCGGACGGGUGAGUAAUGUCUGGGAAACUGCCUGAUGGAGGGGGAUAACUACUGGAAACGGUAGCUAAUACCGCAUAACGUCGCAAGCCCAAAGAGGGGGACCUUCGGGCCUCUUGCCAUCGGAUGUGCCCAGAUGGGAUUAGCUAGUAGGUGGGGUAACGGCUCACCUAGGCGACGAUCCCUAGCUGGUCUGAGAGGAUGACCAGCCACACUGGAACUGAGACACGGUCCAGACUCCUACGGGAGGCAGCAGUGGGGAAUAUUGCACAAUGGGCGCAAGCCUGAUGCAGCCAUGCCGCGUGUAUGAAGAAGGCCUUCGGGUUGUAAAGUACUUUCAGCGGGGAGGAAGGGAGUAAAGUUAAUACCUUGGCUCAUUGACGUUACCCGCAGAAGAAGCACCGGCUAACUCCGUG
rnacentral:rRNA from 1 species